ensembl:lncRNA
CAAGUAAAAGACUCAACCUUUGGAGAAUCCUUACCCACUUCCCUUCCUGAAAGCAGUAUUGGUGCCAUCCUUUGGCAAACCUUGGAAUAUGAAAAACUGCAAGAGUUGCAGCAGUUUCGAGUGGAAUCGAAUUAAACAAAAGACGACUUUGGACAAGCGAGAGAACUGAUUCUUCAUCCAAAUAAUGGCAUCUGGACUCGGAUGAAAAAGGCUCCAGAUUUUUCAUCAUAAGAAGGAAAGUUUAAGAUUUUAUUUUUAGUACUUGUUUUAGCAGCAUUUGAUAUUUCACUCUAUCUUUUGUCAUAUGCAUGAUAACUAUACAGAAUAUACAGAGAAUAUGUUAGAAUAAUUAGUAUUUUUUUCUAUUACAGUAUUCAAAGCCAUAUUUAUGAUAUGAUUAUAGCAUCCUCAUUGAGAUGGCAGGAUGUUCAAAAUGUGAUGUUGAAAUGUGAAUGUCUUCUGUUCUUACUGUUUCACUGGUAUCUUCCAUGAUUGCCUCUGAGAUGCUAUUCAUUUUGUUCCACCUAAAAACUGAUGGACAUCUCAUCACAGAGAGUAGAUACUUGCACUUUUCUGAGCAGAGUCUUCCAGGUCACUCUCCUUGUCAUUGUAUACAUGCAACAAAAGAGCGAGCAAAAAAGAAAGAUGACAUACUGGAAAUGUUCAGUCCUUUCCUACAAGCACGACACAAGCAAAGCAAAUUGACACACAAGARGAUAUGA